UACGAGGGGCCCAAGCGUUAUUCGGAAUUACUGGGCUUAAAGAGUUCGUAGGCGGCAUUGCAAGUAGGGUGUGAAAGCCCUCGGCUCAACCGAGGAAUUGCGCUCUAAACUGCAGUGCUCGAGGAACCUAGAGGUGAGCAGAACAGAUGGUGGAGCGGUGAAAUGCGUUGAUAUCAGCUGGAAUACCGGAGGCGAAGGCGGCUCACUGGGGGUUUUCUGACGCUGAGGAACGAAAGCCAGGGUAGCGAACGGG
rnacentral:rRNA from 1 species